CAGACUAGUCUUAAUAGUUAGGGUUUUCAUUUACAUUGAAAAUUAUUUUGUGCGAAUCAAUAUAGUUUGA
rnacentral:tRNA from 1 species